GACGAACGCUGGCGGCGUGCUUAACACAUGCAAGUCGAACGGAAAGGCCCUGCUUUUGUGGGGUGCUCGAGUGGCGAACGGGUGAGUAACACGUGAGUAACCUGCCCUUGACUUUGGGAUAACUUCAGGAAACUGGGGCUAAUACCGGAUAGGAGCUCCUGCUGCAUGGUGGGGGUUGGAACGUUUCGGCGGUUGGGGAUGGACUCGCGGCUUAUCAGCUUGUUGGUGGGGUAGUGGCUUACCAAGGCUUUGACGGGUAGCCGGCCUGAGAGGGUGACCGGCCACAUUGGGACUAAGGUACGGCGCAGACGCCUACGGGAGGCAGCAGUGGGGAAUAUUGCACAAUGGGCGGAAGCCUGAUGCAGCAACGCCGCGUGCGGGAUGACGGCCUUCGGGUUGUAAACCGCUUUCGCCUGUGACGAAGCGUGAGUGACGGUACUGGGUGAAGAAGCACCGGCUAACUACGUG
rnacentral:rRNA from 1 species